rnacentral:rRNA from 1 species
CCUACGGGAGGCUGGAGUGAGGAAUAUUGGUCAAUGGGCGGGAGCCUGAACCAGCCAAGUCGCGUGAGGGAAGACGGUCCUAUGGAUUGUAAACCUCUGUAGGCGGGGAGCAAGGCCGGGCACGUGUGCCCGGAGGGAGAGGACCCGCAGAAGAAGCAGCGGCUAACUCCGUGCCAGCAGCCGCGGUAAUACGGAGGAUGAGAGCGUUAUCCGGAUUUCUUGGGUUUAAGGGGGGCGUAGGCGGAUUUUUAAGUCAGCGGUAAAAUGUCCGGGCUCAACCCGGGCCGGCCGUUGAAACUGGGGAUCUUUCGUGGGCGAGAACUAUGCGGACUGCGUGGUGUAGCGGUGC